UGGGGAAUAUUGGGCAAUGGAGGCAACUCUGACCCAGCAACGCCGCGUGAAGGAAGAAGGUUUUCGGAUUGUAAACUUCUGUCGCGAGGGACGAAGAAUGACGGUACCUCGUAAGAAAGCCCCGGCUAACUACGUGCCAGCAGCCGCGGUAAUACGUAGGGGGCAAGCGUUGUCCGGAAUGACUGGGCGUAAAGGGAGCGUAGGCGGCAAGAUAAGUUAGAUGUGAAAGCCCGCAGCUUAACUGCGGAACUGCAUCUAAAACUGUCUAGCUUGAGUGCAGGAGAGGUAAGUGGAAUUCCUAGUGUAGCGGUGGAAUGCGUAGAUAUUAGGAGGAACACCAGAGGCGAAGGCGACUUACUGGACUGUAACUGACGCUGAGGCUCGAAAGCGUGGGGAGCAAACAGG
rnacentral:rRNA from 2 species